GGAUUAGAUACCCUGGUAGUCCUAGCCCUAAACGAUGAACACUAGGUAGGGGAGGUGUCCAUGCCUUCCCUGCUGGAGCAAAAGUUUUAAGUGUUCCGCCUGGGGAGUACAGUCGCAAGGCCGAAACUCAAAGGAAUUGACGGGGGCUCACACAAGCGGUGGAGCAUGUGGUUUAAUUCGAAACAACGCGCAAAGCCUUACCUGGGUUUGACGUGUACGAAUUAGCUCAUGGAAACAUGGGUGACGCCCGCAAGGGUGGAACGUACACAGGUGCUGCAUGGCCGUCGUCAGCUCGUGUCG
rnacentral:rRNA from 1 species